rnacentral:rRNA from 1 species
CUGAGAGGGUGACCCGGCCACACUGGGACUGAGACACGGCCCAGAACUCCUACGGGAGGCAGCAGUAGGGAAUUUUCGGCAAUGGGGAAAACCCUGACCGAGCAACGCCGCGUGAAGGAAGAAGGUUUUCGGAUUGUAAACUUCUGUUAUAAAGGAAGAACGGCGGCUACAGGAAAUGGAGCCGAGUGACGGUACUUUAUUAGA